GACGUCGAUAGUCGACGUCAUAAACAGUAUCAAGUUUGGUGUUUAUGACGUCGAUAUACGACGUCAUGAACACCAUCAAGUUUGGUGUUUAUGGCGUCGAUAUACGACGUCAUAAACACGAUCCAGUUUAGUUUUUAUGGCGUCAAUAUACGACGUCAUAAACACCAUCAAGUUUGGUGUUUAUGACGUCGAUAUACGACGUCAUAAACACCAUCAAGUUUGGUGUUUAUGACAUUGAUAUUCGACGUC
rnacentral:miRNA from 1 species